rnacentral:rRNA from 1 species
UACAGAGGUCUCAAGCGUUGUUCGGAUUCAUUGGGCGUAAAGUGUGCGCAGGCGGCAGAGCAAGUCGAGUGUGAAAGCCCCGGGCUUAACUUGGGAAUUGCGCUCGAAACUACUUUGCUGGAGUGUGGCAGAGGAAGGUGGAAUUCCACGUGUAGCGGUGAAAUGCGUAGAGAUGUGGAGGAACACCAAUGGCGAAGGCAGCCUUCUGGGCCAACACUGACGCUCAUGCACGAAAGCGUGGGGAGCGAACAGG